UGGUGGCCACCGUCUUACCCCGGCUCCACAGUCGCGCCGAAAAUGCGAUUUACCCGCAGCGGCUGUCGUUUAGACUACGUUUCCCAUCAGCCUCUUCUCAACAUCGCGAGAGUUGCAGCGAGACUGCCGCGAAGACUUGCGCGCAGGCGCAACCCCACCUUCUCUGCGAGACCGGCCGCAUGGCUGGAAGUCAUGGCUCCUGCAGUCUGGGGGUCGCUCGGCGAGCAGUCUCAGGCCUUUGGCAAUGGCCCGCCUUUAGCAUCUGCAGAGAUAGAAGCAAACCUGCAGGUUGAAGCUUAAAAGUAAUGAAUGGAGCCCCGAAAUGAAGUAAAGGUGCUGGUUGUGGACUUGGAAAAAAGUCACAUGAAAACCAUCACCUUAAGCUUUUGAGUGGAAGGGUCAUCGUAAUGAAAUUCCUAUAAACGGCUUUUCUUCUGCAAUUUCUCCUUGCCAGGGACAGUCACGGCCUUGGUUUCUGAGGCUGAAAAGGACCGUCCAGAAGAAGACACCAGGCAGCAAUGUUGCAGUGUGAGGCACAGAACUGAACAGCUUUGCCUGAGGCAAGUGAAAUGAUUCCUCUCCUGUCGUUUGUGAUCUCCCAUUGGUGCCGAUGGGAUCAGCACAGCCUCUGUUGCUAAUUGCUAAUGCCUAUAAAGUAUUCCCCCCAGGGGAGAAUCAUUUCAGAGUUCAUUGGACUUCAUCGUCAUAAGUGGCCAAAUAAUUCAAGUGACAAUGAGUUUAUCCCAGAAAAACUUGGGCAGUUAGAGAAAUCAGGGUAACUAAGAACCACAGCUGAGGUGAUCUGGGUACAGUCCUCCCUCGCCACUUGUGCUUCGACUUUCGUGGCUUCACUCUAUCAUGGUUUUUUCGAAUAUAUUAAUUAAAAAGUUGAUUGAGACAGUGAAAAUGA